UACAGAGGCCUCGAGCGUUAGGCGGAAUCACUGGGCUUAAAGCGUGUGUAGGCGGACUUCUAAGUACCUUGUGAAAUCCCACGUUUCACCCCGUGGAACUGCUGGGUAUACUGGUCGUCUUGAGCCUUCUAGGGGCUACCGGAACAAAUGGUGGAGCGGUGAAAUGCGUAGAUAUCAUUUGGAACGCCAAUGGUGAAAACAGGUAGCUGGGGAAGUGCUGACGCUGAGACACGAAAGCCAGGGGAGCGAACGGG
rnacentral:rRNA from 1 species